rnacentral:rRNA from 1 species
UACGUAGGGGGGCAAGCGUUGUCCGGAUUCAUUGGGCGUAAAGAGCGUGUAGGCGGCCAGGUAGGUCGGUUGUGAAAACUGGAGGCUCAACCUUCAGAGGUCGACCGAAACCAUCUGGCUAGAGUCCGGAAGAGGAGAGUGGAAUUCCUGGUGUAGCGGUGAAAUGCGCAGAUAUCAGGAAGAACACCGUGGCGAAGGCGGCUCUCUGGGACGGUACUGACGCUGAGACGCGAAAGCGUGGGGAGCGAACAGG